UAUAUCAUGUUAAAACACUAGUUUCCUUACAAUCACCAAAGUUAAGCAACAUCAAGCCUGGUCAGUAGGUAGAUGGGUGAUUGCUUGGGAAUACCAGGUGUCGUAA